rnacentral:rRNA from 2 species
ACCCUUUAAUGUUUGAUGUUCUAACGUGGACCCGUAAUCCGGGUUGCGGACAGUGUCUGGUGGGUAGUUUGACUGGGGCGGUCUCCUCCUAAAGAGUAACGGAGGAGCACGAAGGUUGGCUAAUCCUGGUCGGACAUCAGGAGGUUAGUGCAAUGGCAUAAGCCAGCUUGACUGCGAGCGUGACGGCGCGAGCAGGUGCGAAAGCAGGUCAUAGUGAUCCGGUGGUUCUGAAUGGAAGGGCCAUCGCUCAACGGAUAAAAGGUACUCCGGGGAUAACAGGCUGAUACCGCCCAAGAGUUCAUAUCGACGGCGGUGUUUGGCACCUCGAUGUCGGCUCAUCACAUCCUGGGGCUGAAGUAGGUCCCAAGGGUAUGGCUGUUCGCCAUUUAAAGUGGUACGCGAGCUGGGUUUAGAACGUCGUGAGACAGUUCGGUCCCUAUCUGCCGUGGGCGCUGGAGAACUGAGGGGGGCUGCUCCUAGUACGAGAGGACCGGAGUGGACGCAUCACUGGUGUUCGGGUUGUCAUGCCAAUGGCACUGCCCGGUAGCUAAAUGCGGAAGAGAUAAGUGCUGA